rnacentral:rRNA from 1 species
CAGCAGCAGCCGCGGGAAUACAGAGGGUGCAAGCGUUAAUCGGAAUUACUGGGCGUAAAGCGCGCGUAGGUGGUUUGUUAAGUUGGAUGUGAAAUCCCCGGGCUCAACCUGGGAACUGCAUCCAAAACUGGCAAGCUAUAGUAUGGUAGAGGGUGGUGGAAUUUCCUGUGUAGCGGUGAAAUGCGUAGAUAUAGGAAGGAACACCAGUGGCGAAGGCGACCACCUGGACUGAUACUGACACUGAGGUGCGAAAGCGUGGGGAGCAAACAGGAUUAGAUACCCCCGUAGUCCCUGUCUCUUAUAA